rnacentral:rRNA from 1 species
GACGAACGCUGGCGGCGUGCUUAACACAUGCAAGUCGAACGGAAAGGCCCUGCUUUUGUGGGGUGCUCGAGUGGCGAACGGGUGAGUAACACGUGAGUAACCUGCCCUUGACUUUGGGAUAACUUCAGGAAACUGGGGCUAAUACCGGAUAGGAGCUCCUGCUGCAUGGUGGGGGUUGGAAAGUUUCGGCGGUUGGGGAUGGACUCACGGCUUAUCAGCUUGUUGGUGGGGUAGUGGCUUACCAAGGCUUUGACGGGUAGCCGGCCUGAGAGGGUGACCGGCCACAUUGGGACUGAGAUACGGCCCAGACUCCUACGGGAGGCAGCAGUGGGGAAUAUUGCACAAUGGGCGGAAGCCUGAUGCAGGAACGCCGCGUGCGGGAUGACGGCCUUCGGGUUGUAAACCGCUUUCGCCUGUGACGAAGCGUGAGGGACGGUAAUGGGUAAAGAAGCACCGGCUAACUACGG